UACAGAGGUGGCGAGCGUUGUUCGGAUUUACUGGGCGUAAAGGGUGCGUAGGUGGUUUUGUGUGUCGGAUGUGAAAUCUCACUGCUCAACGGUGAAAUGGCAUUCGAAACUGCAAAACUUGAGUGCAGGAGAGGAGAGCGGAAUUCUUGGUGUAGCGGUGGAAUGCGUUGAGAUCAAGAAGAACACCGGUGGCGUAGGCGGCUCUCUGGUAUGCAACUGACACUGAGGCACGAAAGUUGGGGGAGCAAACAGG
rnacentral:rRNA from 1 species